UUUAAUUCGAUGCAACGCGAAAAACCUUACCCACCUUUGACAUGUACGGAACUUGCCAGAGAUGGCUUGGUGCUCGAAAGAGAACCGUAACACAGGUGCUGCAUGGCUGUCGUCAGCUCGUGUCGUGAGAUGUUGGGUUAAGUCCCGCAACGAGCGCAACCCUUGUCAUUAGUUGCUACAUUCAGUUGGGCACUCUAAUGAGACUGCCGGUGACAAACCGGAGGAAGGUGGGGAUGACGUCAAGUCCUCAUGGCCCUUAUAGGUGGGGCUACACACGUCAUACAAUGGCCGGUACAAAGGGUUGCCAACCCGCGAGGGGGAGCUAAUCCCAUAAAGCCGGUCGUAGUCCGGAUCGCAGUCUGCAACUCGACUGCGUGAAGUCGGAAUCGCUAGUAAUCGUGGAUCAGAAUGUCACGGUGAAUACGUUCCCGGGUCUUGUACACACCGCCCGUCACACCAUGGGAGCGGGUUCUGCCAGAAGUAGUUAGCCUAACCGCAAGGAGGGCGAUUACCACGGCAGGGUUCGUGACU
rnacentral:rRNA from 1 species